CUUUAAAAUGCAACUUGUUGUAAGCUAAAAUGGAAAAACCUCACCUGAUUAUACAUGGCUGCUAGGCACCCCACUUCAGGAUUAAAAUAAAAAUUCCAUACUACUUCUGGGAUCCAGAAUACAGGAUAGACCUCUGUUCAGAGCUAAUCAGAAUUCAGAAGACAAAACGCAGGAACAAAUCAUAUUCACUAAUAGGUUUCCAGAAGUCUCUGUGGUAUUUAUAAUGAAGGCAGCGAGAUCCAAUGAUCUGAUGAACUUUUG
rnacentral:lncRNA from 1 species